UCCACUCCCGGGCCAGUUCAGGCCCCAUUCAGGUGUGCCAGGGAAGUGUUUUGUUUUUUUAGGCAGUCUUGCUGCUGCCGAAGGCCUCAGUAGUCUCGGUGUGUGUGUGCGUGCGUGCGUGCUGCGGUGUGUGGUUGGUGUCUGGCAGCCCCCCCGCCCCGGUCUCCCAUGUGGCCAGCUACGUUAGCUUAGCAGAGAGUGAAAGAGAGACAGCAGAAUCCUUUCCCUUGGACUCCCUCCAUUAGCUGACACCAAACCCUAUUCUUUCUGACUCUGAAUAGCCACUAUUCCAGUGAUGGAAUAUCAUGAAGAUCCAUCCAUCGACUUAUUUCGAUAGCUACUUACCCUGGCUUUUCCUGAAUGAUUUUCCUUUGCUUUCCUCACCAAUGUGUCAUGGAUUUACUUUUUUACCCUAAGGGCAGGGGCUGUUUUAUUUAUCAUUUUCUUACAGCACCUAAUAACUUUAGCUGCGUUGUAAAUAAAACACAAAUAUUAUAGGGUUAUAUCCAAUGGGUCCCUUCUUCCAAUAGGAGGAUAUUUGUCCAUAGGAAGGACUCCUUUCUUGAGGGAAAGGAACCUCUGGAUGCAACUGUCAUGGACCCGAACCCACCACCACACUAUGCAGAGGCGGGCAGUGAGAGCUCAGAAGACAAGGCAACACCCUGGACUCCGAGUCCCAUGUAGACAACCGAACAAUCCAGCCCUGGGGCUCCCUUCUGGAAACCAUUUGUCUCACCAGCCACACUGGGACAGAUUGGGGAAAGCUCUGAGGAGGAGGAAACCAAAGAGACAAUUGUUCCCGAAGAGACUCCACCCAUUCCUCGCCCCAAGGAUACUCCAUUGCCCAUAUCCUCUGAUUUGGAAGAUGACCUUGACCCUCCUCCAGGGGCUGAAGAAUUGCCUCCUUUCCAUAGGAGCCUGCAGUUAAGGAUUAGAGUGCAGGAAAUCAGAGUGCACUUGGGACCUGUGCCAUAAAUGUCCAGCAGCCCAUGUAUGUAAACAGUGAUAAUACAAUAAGGAAAUAACCCAAGGAUGAUGAGAUUGAACUUGUAGAGGAAAUCAACUGUGGCAGCAAGAAUGAAGUCAAACAGUGAGCCAGACUCAUUAGUGAAAGAUGCAGAAAAUACCAGAAGAAAGUAGAGGGGAUAAUUGAGAAGAAAAAGGAUUAAUGUAUGGAGAGUGACCAAGAGCAAAAGGAAAAGCAGCUUAGUUACCAAUGGACUCAACUUUAUAAAGCAUCCCUAGCAGCAGCAGUGGCACACCCUUUCCUACAGGUGGCCCUCGUUAUUCAUGGGGGGGGGUCUCAUUCUUCCCUAUAGCACAAAUAUGGAAACCACAAGUAACAAAACCUGGAGUCAAAGGGAAUGUGGGGAUUAGGUUCCUUGAGCUUUAAAAGGGUAAGAAGAAGAAGAAGAAGCAAGAAAUAAAGGGAAUAAAGCAUACUACCUUGCUCUCCAGGCCGCCAUCUCUCCAGAAAUGCGCAAAACCCAUUAAUCCUCCAUUUUAAAAAAAAAUUAUUGGGUUUUUUAAAAAAUCCACAAAUGUCUCCAUACUGCAAAAUGGUGGCUGGAAAUGGCAUCAGAUGUCAUUUCCGCCCCCCCAGGAACCACAGAUAGGCAAAUAUUACUUAUUUUUUUAGCCAUGGAUAAAGAAAAUGGGUUCCUAUGACUCAACUGAGGAUAUACAAAACUGCGGGUGCCUGGAGCGCAAAUAAUGAGGGCCACUUGUAUUUGUUAGCAGUGGCCAUAGUCACCAUCUUCUCACUCCUCAACAGUGGGCUACUGUGUUAAACAGGAUACUGGACCAGACAGGCCUUGGGCCUGAUCCAUUGAUGCUGUUCUUGUGUUCUUAUGUCAACAGCAGGUUGAGGACCAAGUUUGCCCACCCCUGUUCUAGAGUAUUUGGUAGACUCCUCAGAAGUGGUAUCAUUUUGUGAGAAAAUAAAGAAAUAAUGUUUGGCAAUACCACUGCCAUUUUGGGGACUGUUCUCUAGCUAGUGGAAGAGGAGAGGGAACAAUAGUGUAAGAUGGUGAUGGGUCAUCAUCUGCUCCUUCCACAUAAGAAUGUUGUUGAAGCAAGGGCUACACACUCUUUCACAGAGGGGCCAGAUCUGGUCACUUCAUUAUGCACACACUUUUUUUUCUCACCACACAUCCGAACUCUUUCCUACUCAGUGAUAAAGACACAGGAGCCAAAUACCUUAAUUUCUGCUUACGUCUCCCCAAAAUUGUGUAGGUUCCCUAGUGUACAUAAAUGAUACCAUUUGUGGAAUAGAGUACUUUUGGUGACAGAAUACUGUAUAGUGAUUAUCUUGUAGAGAAUAUGACGGACAACAUAUUCUCUUGGUCAUCUCAAAUAGUGCUAUUGGUUCUCUCAUGAGAGAGAUUCCUGAAGCAGCUGAACACUUUAAUUAGAUAAUUCUGCUAAUAAAGCCACAGGCAGUUAUGAACACAAUGCAGCAAAAUAAGUAAUAGCAACCAGUUUGUGAGAAGGGGGAUCUUCUGCUGUCUGGAAAAGGAAACAAACAAUGUACAUUCAAUAUUUUUGGUGGGAUUGUACUUACAUCUUUAAAUUUGUGGGCUUUAUCUCUUGGGAAUAGAGAGAUCCAAGGGAGUUUAAUGAGGGAAGAAGACUGAGAGAAAAAGUACACUUUUCCCAGUGACUAUAAGACUACAAAUGUACAGUAGAGGUGGGUCUGAUAAAGCAUGCUGUUACAAAGACUUACCCUUUUCAGGUUUAGAAAGAGCCCUGAUAUCUUGGCUCUUCAUCGCAACCUGUGUAGUAGGAUUUAGAAGAGAUUUAAAGAAUUUCUGCAUUGGCUUCUCCAGCAUCAUCAGCAAAGUAUAUUCGGCUAUACAUGUUUUUGUGAGUCAAUCACUACAUGAAGACAUUGGCCCAUACGAGAGGACUUGCAUGUUCAUGUUGCUGCAGGGAGACCAAUUCCAGCCAUGGUUAGUGUUCUCCAGCACACAGUAAUAUAACUAAUCAUUGUUAUGCCUAGAAUGAAUGAAAUAGAAUGAAUGAAAUAGAAUGAAUGAAAUAGAGGUAGAAUCCAUUCAACUGUGUUAUUUCCAAUCAAUUUGGGGUAUAAGAACCCCAGUUCAGCGCCAAUAAUUUGAGCAGCCCAAUCCGAAUACCAGAGAUAAAGAACAUUCGUGAACUAUUCCCAAAAGAUCCUUUGGCUGCAUGGUUCUCUGUCCCAGAGCUGUUUGAAGCCUACUUUGUUUGAGCUCAGAUUGAAGCUUACUUUGGGAAGAGCAGAAGCAGCUUCAGGAGGUGAUCAAGCUUUUCUAAACAGAACAGCAUCAAGCCUCCCCCCCUUCAAACUAACUAACAGGAGGAGGGAACAUUUUGAGGGGGGUGGUUUCUCUUAAAGGGAUAGGUCCUAGCCUCUGUGUGUGUUAUAUGCCAGGGCUAGCAUUUGCCAAGGCUAGCAAAUAACUGUGGCAUCCAGGCGGGAUCAAAGUCAGACAGGCCAAAGUCACACUGGAAUCCAGCGGGUGCAGAGGGCAAGGUGGAAUCAGAGUCAGGCAGGCCAAGGUCACACCAGAAACCAGCGGGUACUGAGGGCAAGGUGGAAUCAGAGUCAGGCAGGCCGAGGUCACACCGGAAUCCAGUGGGUACUGAAGGCAAGGCAGAAUCAGAGUCAGGCAGGCCAAAUUCACAGUCAGAAUCAGAGUCAGAAUCAGGGGCAGGCCAAGGUCACACCAGAAUCCAGCAGGUACCGAGGGCAAGGCAGAAUCAGAGUCAGGUAGGCCGAAGUCAUACCAGAAUCCUGCGGGUACCGAGCGCAAGGCAGAAUCAGGCAGGCAGGCCAAGGUCACACUGGAAACCAGUGGGUACUGAGGGCAAUGUGGAAUCAGAAUCAGGCAGGCCGAGGUCACACCGGAAACCAGUGGGUACUGAGGGCAAGGCAGAAUCAGAGUAGGCAGGCCAAGUUCACAGUCAGAAUCAGAGUCAGAAGCAGGCCAAGGUCACACCAGAAUCCAGCAGGUACUGAGGGCAAGGUGGAAUCAGAGUCAGGCAGGCCAGGGUCACACCGGAAACCAGCAGGUACUGAGGGCAAGGUGGAAUCAGAGUCAGGCAGGCCAGGGUCACACCGGAAACCAGCAGGUACUGAAGGCAAGGUGGAAUCAGAGUCAGGCAGGCCAAGGUUAAGCAGUGAGGGCCAGGAAUCAGAAGACAGGGCAAGACUGGAGAGUCAAGAGAGCUCUGCAUGCUCCAAAAAGGAGCCAGCUCAGACUGCAGGCUUUUAUCCUUUUAGCUCUGGUUGGAGACAAGUAACUCUGCCCCAGGGCAAGGCUCUAGAUGGUUUCAAGGAACCUUGCCUGAUGCUGUAGUCUCAGGCUUUGUUGAGGCUGUGCCAAUGUUGUUUCCCUUAGUAACCCUUCGGAAUACAAGUCUGAUGGUAACACUGAGUCCAAUGGCCUGAUGUUGGUCAGCUGAAUGUGGUCUUGGGGUAUGGGGCCUUCAGAUGACCUUGAGGGUCCUGGAUCCUUUGAGAUAUGCGGUGUAGAUCCAGGUUCUAUACACCAAUACCGUCCUCCUCCGAGGUCUCAUCCAGGGUGGACAGCCGGGCCUGACUGUAGUUGAUGUCCGCAAAGGACAAGUUGUCUCAUCAUGGCAAGGAAGAGAGCUAGGAAGAAGCAAGAGGUAGCGGGGGUGCUCCAGCAGCCAGGUGAUGGUAUUUGGGGGGGGGGUCCCUUCCACUGCUGCUGUCUCACCUCCGAGGGGUUGCCGCCGGAAGAUCAGCCGGUCUCCAUAAGGGCUGCCCCUGAAUCCACGGCCCUUGGGAAAGGUUAGAUGGUUCUUCCCAAGGGCGUGGAUUUGGCCGGGAGUGUGGUGGCGUUGGUGUGGCCACAGAGCUGGAGACCAAUGGUGGACGUCCCCAGUAGCAAGGGGGUGGCCCUGUCUUGGGAGGCCCCAGCGCUUUGAUUGUCAGCGCUGGCAAUGGUUCGACUCUCCGCCGAGCCGAUGGAUCAUGCCAUUUUGAUGGCAGAGGCUUUGGCGGAGGUCUCCCCAUUGGGGUCAGGGUCUUCUUCCCAGAUGACGCGAUCUGGGGAAGAGCCAUCUCACUGGGCCAGCCAGAAAAAUGGCUCUCCCCCAGUGAGAAGAAGCCCUGCCCAGCCCCCCCAAGGUCCACGGCCCCAUUGCUCCUGGGGAUAGAUGUCAGUCCUCUUUCAGGGUCCACCGUGGUCUCCAGCAACCUUCUGGGGUGUCUCCCCUCCCCCAGGUGGGGAAGGGGUUUCACCCCAGAAGGCACACUCCCAGCCCGGGCAUUGCCCAGACGAAGACCGGCUUGGGGGAUCUUCUCCAGGAGGGCUGGUGGUCUGCCCUCCUGUGGCGGCUUCCCCUCACUGCAGCUUACUGCCUGGGGCUGGCUGGUGGAUAUUUUUGGAUGCUUCACCCUUUUCUUGGGUGACCCCGCCACAGGUGCUGGAUCACCCAAGAAAAGGGUGGUUUUCUCAGAGCCAGCCCCAGGCUGCUGCAGCAGGGGGGACAGCAGCAGCUUCCGGUCCCCCAAGUGGCUGCUGGAGCUGGUGGGCCUGCUUUUGCUUGGUCUUGCCUCCUCUGCCCCUGGAAGGAAAGAACCAAAGAAUUAUUUAUUUCAUUUUAAAAUACUUUUUUACACAUUUAUAUACCACCAAAGUUCAAAUCUCUAGGCAGUGUGUUUGGUCAAAAGCAAGUCUCAGAGCUUUACGUUGUUGUUAUAUUAAUGUUAACUUUGAAUGAUGUGGGGGACCCAUCGCUCGGAGUUCCCCAGAACUAGCUAGCCUCGGAGAUUUUGAUCCAGGAGAGGAACACCCAGAGACCCCUGACCUUCAUCUAGCCAGAGAGCCAGGCUUAUUGCCCUCCUGAAGUGCUUUCAAGGCCACUGGGGGAGGAGCUGCAUCCACCUAAGGGCAGGCAGGCAUUCAGCAAAUGCAUAUAGAAAACAUCGAGCCUCUUGAUGAGUAUCUGUGCCUUACCUAGAAGAGAGAAGGGGCUGGGAAGUGGGAAGACCUGAGUUCGAAUCCCUGUUUAACCAUGAAACUCACUGGCAGACUCUGGGCCAGUCAUGUCUCUCUCAGCCUAGAGAGAUCAGUGUUAACAUCCUUCAGCUCCUGGCUGCCAUGAGCAGGAAUCGGCCCCUAAUUCAAAAUCAGGUGAAUGUAAUUAGCAGCUCUUGCUGCUCUCUCUCCAUCCUAUGGUGAGCCCUUUCCCAGUAUUAAUGGAAAUGAAGGGGGGAAAUUGAGAACUCUUCUUCUUUGUAAGGGGCGUGCAAGUUAAUGGUGCCAUCUAGGGAGAAAGUCUUUGGACAGAAAGCAAAAUAAAUCAAAAAGGGAAGCUGUGGAAGCAAGUAAGAGAAAGGGGAGCAGGAAUAACAUAGCUCAAAAAAAGAUCCAGCCCACAAUCCACCAAAGUUUUUCACAAAUGAGUCCUACUGAAAGGCAUCAAAGAGACCCUAGUCAUGAUGAGAUAAGUUUCACUGACAUGACUGUGGCUGGAGUUGUGAGGAGCUUUUGCUGGCCAGUGAGUUGCUUUCUUCUUGCUUCAGCUUCCCCUCACUUCUUCCAAAGGUUCCACUGCCACCUUUUCUACAUUGUGUAACUGCUGUCUUUAUCAUUUCCCCAGCUAUAACCCAUAACUACACAGGUUUUAAGCUUUGUGGUGGUCAAAAACCCUGCUGUUUUAGGACCAUUUCAUGUUCAUUUUUUAGAUUUGUUUCCCACUCUUCAUCCAAGAAGCUCAAAGCAGUGUACAUGCUUAUUUUUAUCCUCACAACAACCCUGUGAGGUAGGUUAGGCUGAGAGUCACCCAGUGAGUUUCAUGGUUGAAUGGGGAUUUGAACCCGGGUCUUCCCGGUCCUAGUCCAACACUCCAACCACUACGCUAUGCUGGCUCUCCAGAGUUAGGACUAUUUCAAUCAGUGGGCUAUGGGGAGGAGGCUGCCUUAGUUGGCCUGAUGAUGAUCUCCAAUUAGGAAUGGGCAGAGGGAGUGUGACUUUGUUGGAUCUCUCAUCAGCUUUCAAUACUAUUGACCAUAGUAUCCUUCUGGAGCAUCUGAGAGGGAUGGGGUGGGAGGCAGUGCUUUGCAGUGAUUCCACACCUACCUCUCGGGAAGAUUCUGGAUGGUGAAGGCAUAACUUCCCUAAAUGCCUGCCUAGAGGAGUGAUGGGCUGGAUAAGGGAUAAUCAACUGAGACUGAAUCCAGAUAAGGUGGAGGUACUUAUUGUGCAGUGGGGUUUUGGGAUACAAUUUGGAUCUACCGGUUCUGGAUGGGGUCGCACCUCCCCAGAAGUAGCAGUCUGGGGGUGCUUCUGGAUCCUAACUUCCCCCUAGGUUCUCAACUUCCCCCAGGUUGAGGCGGUGGUCAGAUGAGUUUUCUUUAAGCUUUGGCUGAUACACCAGCUGUGUCCAUUUCCUGAGAUAAAUGACCUCAGAACAUGGUACAUAUGCUGGUACCUCCAGACUUGACUAUUAUAAUGCACUCUAUGUGGGGUUGCCUUUGUACAUUUUUCAGAAACUGCAGUUGGUAAAGAAUGCAGCAGCCAGAUUGGUCUCUGGGUCAUUUUGGAGAGACCAUAUUACUCCUAUACUAAAAGAACUACACUGGCUGCCAAUAGGUUCCCGGGGAAAAUACUACAACCACUACCAAUAUUUAUAUACCACUUUUCAACCAAAGUUCUCAAUACAUAAAUAAGAUGUUUUUAUUUUAUUUUAUAACCUAUCCAACCCUAAGCAGCUUAGACCCUGGGUGUUUAAGAGAAUGCCAUGAGCCCUAUUGCCCAUUGAAAUCAUCUGGAGAGGUUAAUCUGCAGUUGCCACCAGCUCAUCUGUUGGCUAGACAGGGACAGGCCUUCUCUGUGGCUGCCUCGAGACUCCAGAAUGCACUCCCUGCUGAAAUAAGAGCCUCCCCAUCUCAGAUAAGUUUUUAAAAGUCCUGAAAGACUUAUUUUUUCACCCAAGCUUUUUUACAUUACUAUGCUGUUAAAUUGUUUUAAGGUUUUCAUUUUUGUCUUAAUUCGUUCUCUUUUGUUGUAAAUCAUCCAGAGACAGAAGAUUGCGGCAGUCUACAAAGUUGGUAGGUCGAUAGAUAGAUAAUAUGGCUCAAGCUCCACAAAGCCAGGAAACUGAACCUAAGGCUGAUGCCUUAACAGAUGUGCCAUGUAAUCAGUAAUGUUGUUGUGCAAUGUCGCAGAAGAUGCUAAAAACUGUAGCGCUGCCUAUAGUCGAAGCCAGGGCUGCUCAACUUCGGCCCUCCUGCAGAUUUUGGCCUACAAUUCCCAUAAUCCCUGGCUAUUGGCCACUGUGGCUGGGAAUUGUGGGAGUUGUAGUUCAAAAACAGCUGGGGGGCCUAAGUUGAGCAGGCCUGGUCUAAGCCUAUAGUCAGUGCCAGAAGAGAGACAAACCAGUGAUGACCCUCUUUUCCUCUGAGCUUGGGACAAGCUUGGGAUGGUGUUGCCAUCCAGCCUUUACUGGAGUGCACCAUAAAACCUCUUUUCAGUUGAGUCAGCACUGUAUACGCAUGAUGGCUAAGAUGCUUAAUAAGACUGUACAGGAGCUGGACAACAUGGGGCAUCUUUGCUGGUGCCCGGCUUUACAUCUUCCCUACCUUGAUUUGGGCCUUGAAGACCAAAGAAAAGGAUGGGUGAUGGAGGGCAAGUUGGAAGUGAGCAUAAUUUUUGAAAUAAGACGUCAUGUGGCAUGUCUGUUAAGGUUUCAAUUUCCCAGUUUGUGGAGCUUGAGUCAGAUUGAGAUAGCCUUAACUCUGGCAGGUUUUUUGACCAUCUAAUGUCCAUGGUUUGUGAAAAGGAUAUUUAUGGUUGUGUUUCUGUGCAAGUGUGUUUGCAUUUGUGUUAACCUGAGCUUGUAUAUGGAAGGGCUUUUGUUUCUGUAUGUUUGCUUAUCUUCUAUACAUGUGUGCUGUUGAUGAAACUGCCUCGAGGGUUAUUGGCCUGCACACUCUAGUUCGGGCGAAUGUGGGGAAUUUACCUCAAAACAGGAGACAGUUCCAGUCAGCCUCAAUUUGUGUAAGCGUAUGAACUCAAGAAAAUUGAAGAAGCACACUGGGUCAUGGAGUUAGGGAUCUAUGUUACAUCACUAACUCAUCAAAUCUGGGGGCAACCAGUCCACUGCCAACUAAGCGACUUGUCCCCAUGUAUAACAUAGACUGGGAGCUCACAUUGCAGUGCAGAGCAUAGCAAAAGUGCAAUCUCCAAGCCUGGAGAUGCAGUUGAAACCAGGGAGGCUUCUGGGAGUGGGCAGAAUAAGCUCAGCUGGUAACAGUGCAUUUACUGUAUUUACACAUGUUUGUGUGUGUGCUUGUGUUCAAUAACCAUGUGUUUGUGCUACUGUGUGGAUACAUCUGCAUGUGUUUGUGGAUGUGCUUGUUUUCUUGUGUGCACAUUUAUGUACCUCUGAGCAUUUUUAUGCAUUUGAUUGUGUUGUGUGCAUGUGUUUAUGAAUUUGCACAUCUUUGUUAUGCAUGUAUUUAUCUGUUUCUGUGUUUGUGUGUGGCAAGUAUUUGCAUGACUCUGUGUGUGUGUGUGUGUGUGUGUGUGUGUGUGUGUGUGUGUGUAAGGCUGUUGCAUAUGUUUUUGUGUUGCAUCUGUGUGCAUUUGUGCUUCUGACUAUGGAUUAUUGUGAUGUAUCACAAGACUGCUUCCUUGCCUUUGAUUCAUCAAAGGUGUGAAACUUGUAACCUUUUUGUAUAAAUGCUUUGUCAGCCUCCAUUUUGGGGCUCUACCUUUUGACUGGAACUUGAUUCCAUGAGCCAUGCUCUCUUUCACUCUGCAGAGGUAAAUAAAGUUUUGAAAUCCUGAUCUCCUCUUGGAGUGAUCAAUUGGGCGCCUCACACCAGGUAAAAUAACCCCUUGGAGUUAUCAAGGGGCGUGGAAAUCUUUUGAGGACUACAGAUCUAUAUCUGUAUUUGCCAUAGUGUUGGGUUCUUACUCUGGCCUCCACCAUCUAAUUUUGUUUUUCACUUUUUAGUAAAUAUUCUAAAGGAGAACAUGGAGUUCUUGUUCCCAGCCUGAUAUAACAUCCU